UACGGGGGGGGCAAGCGUUGUUCGGAAUUACUGGGCGUAAAGGGCGCGUAGGCGGCUUUGCAAGUGGCGGGUGAAAUCCCUCGGCUUAACCGAGGAACUGCCUGCCAGACUGUGAGGCUUGAGACCGGGAGAGGUGAGUGGAAUUCCCAGUGUAGCGGUGAAAUGCGUAGAUAUUGGGAGGAACACCAGUGGCGAAGGCGGCUCACUGGACCGGAACUGACGCUGAGGCGCGAAAGCGUGGGGAGCAAACAGG
rnacentral:rRNA from 1 species